GAUGGCUAAAGAGUGAUGAAUGCAGUGUGUCUAGACUAUGUCUCAACUGGGAACAGGUAUUGCUUAGACUCCUGUUCAAAGAAUUGUAAUAGGCCUGAUUCUUUUAUUGGACACAGAUAUUGUAAAUCACAAUUGCUGACUUACAACAGUUUUAAUGGUAUCAAUGGAAACUGUUUAACAUAAAAUUCAUGGAUGGAAGAACUGGGCUGGAACACUAGGCUCUUCAGCCUUUUUAUAACCUGGUAAAUUGCAUGCAUGGUGUCACCUGAGGAAGGGGAGGUUGCACUGCUGUGCAUACUUCCUAUUAAGAGCUCAGUUGGUAAAGAUGGUGAACAGUGAAAGAAGAAUCUGACUAAAAUAAUUUGUGGAUAAAUAGGAAGCACUUCAUUAAUGAGCCUUCCAGUUAAUUGAUGAGGGAAGAAACACACUAGAAAAGAGAUUGCUAUAAAAAAAAUUGCAAAGGAGGAUGUCCACGUGAUACUCUCACUGGGGAGAGAGAGAGACAACACCAGGAGCCACAAAGAGCUAUAUCGCAGGAAACACGGCUUAUUUUGGGGAUUAGCCAAAGGUGACUUCAUGCAAAAUGCCCUUCACAGCAGAGAAAAUCUGUUACUUCUGGGAAGUCAAAGUGGAAAUGCUGAGUCACAGCCUGAAACAGUGAUAGAGCACCUGGUGGGAAGGCAGGGCCAACCCAGGGGAGCUCAGGUGCAAGCAGUGCAGCUGAGUGACUGCACCUGGUGGAGCCAAGGUCAGCCCCUACCCAGACCUCAUUUAAGGGUUGGCUGUGGAGGUGAGGGUAUCUCACUGGAGAUCCCUGCCUACUAGAGGUCUUCCAAAGGACUUUGCAUUUGGAGCUCAGCUUUAAAAGUGAGAUGUGUGGCCCUCAGAAGGUACUGAACAGGAGGCUUCACGUGGUCCUUUGGUAGAGUUUGCAUCAGAUGCAUGCAAGAUGGAAGACACAGGCACUUGGCACCAAAUGACUUUCCAGGUGACAGCUGGAGCAGAUACUGUGGCCUCUUACAGCACCAAACAAUUUGGAAGGAAUCAAAAUGCAAUAUAACAGUAUAGUAAAUUAACUGAGUAAAUUAACCUGCUGAAACUAGUUGAAGGAAAAUUGUUCCUGGUUUAUUAUGAAAGUGUAAGAAUUACAGUAUGCGCAUGCACAAUUGUUACAUGGAAAGCACAAGAUCUAGAAUUUUGAAGAAAUCUGUCGGCAUCGCUAGAUGGCAUUGGAGGGUGGUUUGUCUCAUCAUAGGAGAAAGGUAGCUUUUGUCAACAGGCUACAGUAAUUUGCAUUAAGGACACUAGCAGUUAAGGAAAAGCAAGCUGAAGCAUGUUCACUGCGACUUUGGAGAGUGAGUUGCAACACAAGAGCCAGUGUUGGCUGAUCCAUUACUGAAAUGCUGAAAUUUCGUUCCGUCGCACUCAAGGAGUCCAACGCUUGUGAGCAAGAACUGGAAGACAGAAGCUCAGACAGAAAUAACUUGCAGGGUGCUGAAGAGACUGAGCACUGAUAGUACAUGGGCUGCUGACCACAGAGAGACCUGUUAGGACAUACUUGAACUCAGCAGAAGGAUGAUGAAGGAGGAUGACAUGAAACCUGUUAAACAGUAAGUUUGUCUAACUAAUACUCUUUUCCUGAGAUUAUUUACUGAAUGGUAUAUGUCUUUAAUUUGCUUAGUCUUGCUAAAGCUUCUAUCUUAAGGGUAAGGUUAUGCUCCAUGUUGUCGCCAUUUCACUUUCACACGAACCUAUUAUACACACGCUUACACACAUGUAUUAUGUGUACGUAUAUAGGGGAAAACCAGUGUAUCUUUCCUCACUUACUAUGGUCAAAGCAUUUAGAUCCAAGAGGUGGGCUUUAUUUUGUUUGUGCUACACAGCUACUCAUCUAACGGUCUGUUUUGUGUGAACAUAAACCAAAGAUUAACUGGAUGACACAGGUACAAUAAAGCUAAGAUCAGAUUUUGGCUUUAUCAUCUCAAGUAGUUACUGGCUAGUUUAGUCUUCCUUCUUAGCCUUGCAGUCUUUUGCUGGAAAUCUGUGAUGAGUGUUUUUGUUUACAAGCCACAAUUUCUAAUAAAGGCAUUGUUUGACCUCUGGCUUGACAUCAGAGACGAUUUUAUAAUUAGGAUGGCUCCUAUUGAAUUAUAUUUCCCUUCAGCUUGCAUGGGGAAGUGGGGUACCUAUUAAACAAAGGCAAAUGUUGACUGUGUGUACCUACAAAAGGAAGAGAUGUGAUGCUUUUGCUUCCUUUACGUUUUUAAAAGGCAGCUUUCAAAACCUUCCAUGUCAGCUUGAAAAAAAAAAAUGCUUGUAGUUACUUGCAAGUAAGUUACCUGUUAGGAUUAAAAUGCCAAUGUUCACAUCUGUACUGAAGGGUGGAUAUGGCCCUUACAUGUCCUGGGAGCUCUCAGAACCAGUCCUCUGAAUCAUUUGCCUAAUCUACCUUAUUAGCAACAAGAGUGUCGUCUUCACUGCAAAUACUGACUGCACGAAGUUGGGGGGCCUUAUAAACAUUAACAGUCAGCACUACACAUCCACCAGACAAAGUGAAAGAAGGGUAUGUAUUUUGCUUCUGUAAUUCCCUUUGAAAUGCAUGCCUCUUGUAUAUCACCAGGUAUCUGCUGUUGCAGCGGGGUGUGGGACAGCACUAAAGCAGGACAACUCUGUAGGAAUCCAUGACCACAGCAGAGAGAGCCCACGUGGUAACUACCUCUUUCCAGAUGCUUGUCUAAAACUGACGUGUUAGCUACCACAUCUACUCUGCUCAUCUAGGAUAAACACAAGGUGUUACAUUCACUUACUGAAAGCUGUGGUACAAGUGGUACAAAUUCACUGCUGCAUGAGACCAGCAGGGAGACCAGGGGCAGCCCUUGGAGGCACUUCAUGCCACAGCCUGAGCACGGCACCACAGCCCCAAGUUGGAACAAGCACUCAGCACAACCCUGCAGAGAGCUGCGACUUCAUGGAGCUCUCACUUCUCCAGAUGAAUUCAACAUCCUGUUUAGCACUUCAUUUUGUAUGUAGCCAAUUGCUUUUUCACUAGGUAAAUAAUCUCUCUUCAGUGUGACAUAGACAUAAAUAAGUGUACACAUACACACAUGUGCACACGUACACACACACAGACAUCAGUCAUUUAAAGCUGUGUGGGUGUCUUCUUUCAUAUUUCUACCUUGUGGCUUGAGAAAGUCAGGAAAUGUAAAAAGCAGUCCAAAAGUUAUAGGCAGGGAGGAAACAGAAGUGUUUUUUUCCACAGAAGACACGGAACAGCUCCUGGCUGAGCGGAAUGGACCUGCCAGCUCCCUUUGAGCUCUGCCUCCUCCUCUGCUGUGGCUUCCCAGGGGUUUCCAUGCCACAAGCGCCAGUCAGGCACUGCUGAAUCAGACCCACAACUGCCAAAGACACUUUCUCCCCAUGAAUUCAAACUUUUACCAGUGCUUAUUACAGCUAUUAAACUCACUUAUUGUAGUAUCGCGCCUCUCUUAUUAAGAUUUUAAUCACGAUUUCCAUUGGAAAGCCUUACUCUUGAAGCGUUAUUAAACUGCCUAUAUAAAGUUGAUUACUGCUGUACUCUAGAAUCCAGCUUCUUGGCUCACGGCUGUUUCUUACUUACUUGAUCUCUGUUUGCAAAGGCUGAUGUAAAUUGGUUUGGCAAGUUUGUUCAAUUCCAGAGAUAAACAACUUCUGACUUCAGAGGGUUGGUUUUUUUUUUUCAGGCAUGCAGAAAACGAUGAAGUUUUCCUAAGGUACCUGCCUACAAUAUUAAAGAAUUACCCCAGAUAUCUUUUCUUAACUGUUGACAAUUUUUUUUAUCUAGGAACACAGCUAAAGGAUUUCAUCAUUCACUUUGUUUUUAAAUGCUGAGUAUUUUUGGAAUGGUGUGUUGCACUUAAUGGGGAGGCAAUCACAGGAGGCUAAACACUUUCCGAAUACAUACCAGCACCUCAGUGCCAACAACCCAUAUCACUUCAAUGAACUGUGCAGUAUGCGUUGGCAUGAUUUAUGUAGCAAUUUUAAAAGAAUCUGUAGUGUUUGUUUAUUACCACAGCGUGAUUGAUGGGCUCCUAAGUGCACACCGACACAAUCAGCUGAGCUAUUACUGCGGGCAGUUUGAUAAUCUGAGUUACCACCAUUGCAGCAUAUCACUGCAGUGGACUGCCAGAAGUCGUUAGGCUAGCGGUGACCUCAGAGGAACCAUGGUGAGACAAGACCUGCUGCCAACUGUGCCACCAUCUGACCAUCCCUCCUGUGCAGUCACUUGGACUAUGAACACUCUGUCCCACUUACUUGCUCUCCGGCUAUCCUCCAGCAAGAAAAUCAACCAUCUAGCACCAUGGCUAAUUAUUUCAGGUUCCAUUCUCACUCUCUCCCUCUACAAACGGUGCAGACAUGACUCAAACUUCAGAGAAAGAAAGGCUGAUGAAGCAUUGUCGCUAAUAGUCGCUUGUUUCAUGACGGUCAAACACGCAGACGUAGCCACCCCUGGACCCUAAAACACACCCCUCACUGGAAGCCACUGGAGCAACAUCAGCUCCUUGCUGGA